UUUGGAUCCUCCUAACAAGGUUUCCGUAGGUGAACCUGCGGAAGGAUCAUUACAGAGCGUGAGGCUCAGUCGUGGCAUCUGCUGCGUGCUGGGCCGACCCUCCCACCCGUGUCGAUUUGUAUCUUGUUGCUUUGGCGGGCCGGGCCGCGUCGUCGCUGCCCCGCAAGGACAAGCGUCGGCCGCCCACCGGUUUCGGCUGGAGCGCGCCCGCCAAAGACCCCAUCAAAACUCAUGUUGUUUAUGUCGUCUUAGCUUUAUUAUUGAAAUUGAUAAAACUUUCAACAACGGAUCUCUUGGCUCUGGCAUCGAUGAAGAACGCAGCGAAAUGCGAUAAGUAAUGUGAAUUGCAGAAUUUAGUGAAUCAUCGAAUCUUUGAACGCACAUUGCGCCCCUUGGUAUUCCGAGGGGCAUGCCUGUUCGAGCGUCAUAACACCCCCUCCAGUUACCUUUGUGUGGCUGUGGUGUUGGGGCUCGUCGUGAUACGGCGGCCCUUAAAGACAGUGGCGGUCCCGGCGUGGGCUCUACGCGUAGUAACUUGCUUCUCGCGACAGAGUGACGACGGCGGCUUGCCAGAACAACCCACUUUGCUCCAGUCACAUGGAUCACAGGUUGACCUCCAAUCAUGUAGGAAUACCCGCUUGAACUUUAACCAUAUCAAAUAAGCGCGAGCUUGCAGGAAAAA
rnacentral:rRNA from 1 species